CAUAGAUAAUAUAGAAGACAGCGCGCUAGCGUAUCUAGUCUCUGUGUAUCUAUGGUCGGCACGUCUGGUAGCAUCUCUGGCUGCUGUUGAUCUUGUUUUUGGAGUAAAACACGGUGGAAGCUGAAUUAGUGAGGAUGACUUCUGCUCCUGUCAUCUCUAAGCUCCUCACACAUCUUUACCUGCACAUGAGGAAAAUCACUGCUGUAGAAUGCAGAUGUUCAGAGGGAGAUGAUGCCACAUCUGGUCCAGCUGAUGGAAGGUCUUGAAGUUCUCUGACUGGCCUCGACUGAAGAUGGUCGUCUCACUGGAUUUAAGGUUCAGAUGCUCAGUAACAAACUCCACCAAUGAGCCAACAGGGAAGCUUUAGGUUUAUUAAAUGUUGCUAUGAAGGUAUCACUGUUUUUCUUUGUGAAUGCAAUGUGCUCCAACUGAAACUUGAAUUAGAACUUAGAAGUAAAUCCU
ensembl:lncRNA